GGCUAUAAAAGGGGGAAUGGCCCGGCAGCCGCGCUCGGAGCAUCCCCGGCAGCGGCGGAGCCUCUCCCGCUGCCCAUCCCGGGCUCCUGCCCGCAGCAAUUCCCCCCGGGAGAUGGGAGGGAGCCGUAUCCAGAGCCCCCCGAGCGCGCUGAGGCUCGGGAGGAGGAGGAUGAGGAGGAUGAGGAGGAUGAGGAAGAUGCCGCUGGGCGCACCCGGAGAGCCGCAGCCCCGGCGGGGUCCGGAGGUGGAGGUUUUGCCAUUCCUGGAGGGAAGGAAUUCCAUCGGGAGCUGCUGGAAUCUCCUCGUGCCGGCGCUGAGGACACCGGGCCGUGCCCAGGGCUGGCACUCGUCCCCUCGGCCAGGGAACGGCUCCCAAGGCAGGAUUUAUCCCUGGAUGUCUCCUCUGCACCGGAACCCCGAGCCCUGAGCCUCGGCUGGGAUUUGGACGCUCUGGGAACGGCACGGCCGGGAGGCUGCAGGCACCUGCUCCUCCCAAAUCCCGCGGAUUUACCGCUCCUGGCACCUUCCUGCUGCCACUGGCUCCAUCCCAGGGAAUCUCCCGAGGGACAGAAGUGGGAAAGCAGCACUUAGAGGUUACAAUUCCUUCUUUUUCUGCGCUGCUCCUGAAUCCUGGCUCUGGAGGAGGAAGGAUCCCAUGCACUCCUGGAGGACAAAUCCUGCUGCUCCCAGGGCCCGUGCUGAAGGCUCGGGGUGAGGGACAGAGGGGACAGCCAGGACAUGCAGGAGCAGCUCCCGAGGCUGCAGCUGGAGCUCAGGGACAGCGAUGGAACCUCAGGGCUGGGAGAGGUUCUUCCCUCGCCUCCAGCCCCAGCUCCACACCCGGAACCUGCCCGGGCUCCAUCCCCUCCCCGUGAGGAGGAUCCCACCAGGAGCUCAGCUCCUGCCACACGGAACUGACAGGAAAAAACUCCAUUUUCUGCUGGCCUUUGGGAAUUGUCCUCUUGGAUCCUGGUGAUGGAUGGAUGGAUGGAUGGAUGGUGAAGAGCUCCUGGCUCAAGCAGCAGCUCAGUGCUUUCCUCUGGCAAGGACCGAGCGCUUGCCCAGUUUCCAGUGGAAUUUUUUGGUCUUUAUUUUUACCCCUCUGCUUUUUUUUUUUUUAAAUUUUUGCUGUUUUUUGGGGGUUUGGGUGUUUCCUGUGGAUACUGGAGCUGCGGUGGAUCCCGUGGUGGGAACUGGAGCCUUUGGAAGAGCAGGAGCUGAGCUGGUGCUGGGCUUUCCAGCACCCUGAGCUGGGUGGCCUCGGGAGGGUCCUUCUGCCACACCUGGAGCAUCCCAGUGGAUCCCAGUCCAGGUGGGAGCGGGAAGCAGGCGCAGGAACGGGGAAAAAGCCGAACCUCAGCGAGGGGAUUGUCCCAAUGAGGGCAAAGUCAUCCCCAGAGACAAUUAAAUUACAUUUAAUAAACCCCUCUGGCUCCGUGAGUGCUGGAUGUUGUUUUCCAUUUGCCACAUUUCCAGGGGAUUUUGGGGAUGCCUUGGAUUGUCCAGGAAACCUUGAGAAACUCCCAACAAAGCCAGCCCAGGAAUUUAACACUUUUAUUUUGCAGGAAAGCUCUUCCCUGUCCUUUCCCUUUUCCCUUUCCAGCCUUUAACCACCACUGCCAUCCCUCCUGCUCCAGAAGCCACUGAAAUGCAAAUUAUUUGCCCUAGAAUCCUGUUGUUAAUUAUCCCUGGAUUCUGUUCCCUCCUACCCUGUAAGCACCGGAAGGUGCUGUGUGGAAAUCGAACAUAAAAGGGAUAUUUAUGGAGGGGAAAUGUUUAUGAUAAUUAAUGUUUUAGGAUUUAGAACGUUA